rnacentral:rRNA from 1 species
AUGCUGCACCGGAAAAAUUUCUUCAUUGAGGAUUACACCUGUGUUAUGUGUAAUCAACACUCCCUGGAAACAAGAGAUCAUCUCUUCUUCCAAUGCCCAUACGCUCAGCUUUGUUGGCAAUAUGUGUGCCCCUCAUGGCAGCCCCAGAAUACAAAUAUUCAGGAAGAAGUUGCACAUCUCAAGCAUCUUAUCAAUUUUCCUUUUGCUCUGGAAAUCAUCAUUCUGGUCUCCUGGGCAAUAUGGACAACGUGGAAUGACUUCAUAUUUAAAAAGAUUCCCCCAAAUCUAUAUGCUUCCAGGCGCAAAUUCAAAGAAAAGAUGAAAUGGCUCACUCAUAGAGAAAGAAGACAGGAUUAUUUGGCAUGGCGGAUUGGGUUGCAAUGUUCAGAUAACUUGCUGGUCCAGAUGGGUGUUUUUGCUGCUUGUUUUCCUUGUAUGUAUGUAUGUAUGUAUGUAUGUAUGUUCUUUUUACCUUUCCUAGGUUUUCUUUUUAGUUUUGAUGUAUAG